CCUACGGGAGGCAGCAGUGAGGAAUAUUGGGCAAUGGGGGCAACCCUGACCCAGCCAUGCCGCGUGAGUGAAGAAGGUCUUCGGAUUGUAAAGCUCUUUCGGACGUGACGAUGAUGACGGUAGCGUCUAAAGAAGCACCGGCAAACUUCGUGCCAGCAGCCGCGGUAAUACGUAGGGGGCAAGCGUUAUCCGGAUUUACUGGGUGUAAAGGGGGCGCAGACGGCAAUGCAAGCCAGGAGUGAAAGCCCGGGGCCCAACCCCGGGACUGCUCUUGGAACUGGAUGGCUGGAGUACAGGAGGGGCAGGCGGAAUUCCUAGUGUAGCGGUGAAAUGCGUAGAUAUUAGGAGGAACACCGGUGGCGAAGGCGGCCUGCUGGACUGUGACUGACGUUGAGGCCCGAAGGCGUGGGGAGCAAACAGGAUUAGAUACCCCUGUAGUC
rnacentral:rRNA from 1 species